GAAAUGCGAUAAGUAAUGCGAAUUGCAGAAUUCAGUGAAUCAUCGAAUCUUUGAACGCACAUUGCGCCCGCUAGUAUUCUGGCGGGCAUGCCUGUCUGAGCGUCAUUUCAACCCUCAUUCCCGGCUUCGUGUCGGGGAUGGUGUUGGGGAUCGGCCUCCCGGUUGCGGGCGGCCGGCCCCGAAAUAGAGUGGCGACCACGCCGUAGCCUCCUCUGCGUAGUAGUGAAAACCUCGCAGGCGGAGAGCGGUGCGGCCUGCCGUAAAACCCCCAACUCUUCUAAGGUUGACCUCAGAUCAGGUAGGAAUACCCGCUGAACUUAAGC
rnacentral:misc_RNA from 1 species